GGUCGUGACUGACACAUUAUGACCAGUCUUGGAACUAGGGUUGGGAGGGGGGUUCGUCCCACCCAGACCACAGGGACUGAAAAUCAGGAAGGGGUGAGGCCUAAGGGACAAUUAGGAUGUUUUUCAGAGAGAAGUGUGGAUGCUGGACAGGAAGAACCACAGAUGCCAGAUACGGGUACUGUUGUAACUCUGUUCUCCAUAAAAUUUCCUCUUUACAGGUUUUAUUCCACAGACAUUUCCUGAAACAUUACUAAUUAAAACAAUGAUGAGGCCUGCUUUGGGUACUUAACAGGACUGUCUACUAGGGGACACAAGAGAAGGACAUGACAGAGCCUGUGACUUUUACCAGCCAUCAGUUCAAAGGGAAACGUGCACACAGCCUGCAGCUGGUUAAAGGAUCAAAAGGAAAUACUUCAUCUGAGCACAGCCUCUGGAGCCUGAGUUCAAAUCCUAACUCAACCCUUGUUAGUUUUGUGCCAGUGGGCAAACUUCUUAACCUCAUAUGACUUAGUAGAUGCAAAGUACUUAACUCAUGCUUCAUGUAUAGUUAGCAAUUAAUAGUUAAGAUUAACUUCA